UACGAAGGGGGGCUAGCGUUGUUCGGAAUUACUGGGCGUAAAGCGCGCGCAGGCGGUCUUCCAAGUCAGUGGUGAAAGCCCGGAGCUCAACUCCGGAACUGCCAUUGAAACUGUUAGACUUGAGGACGAGAGAGGUGAGUGGAAUUCCCAGUGUAGAGGUGAAAAUUCGUAGAUAUUGGGAAGAACACCGGUGGCGAAGGCGGCUCACUGGCUCGUAUCUGACGCUCAGGCGCGACAGCGUGGGGAUCGAAACAAGG
rnacentral:rRNA from 1 species